GCCCGUCACACUAUGGGAGCUGGUCAUGCCCAAAGUCAUUACCUUAACCGCAAUGAGGGGGAUGCCGAAGGCAGGGCUAGUGACUGGAGUGAAGA
rfam:Gossypium arboreum cultivar AKA8401 contig_29775_1, whole genome shotgun sequence.